AAUAAGCAACAAGAAUUGUAUUCUCAAAAGUGUGGAGUCUUGUAGGGUAAUGUUGUAAUUUCGCUGUCAUUCAAGCAUUUACUGUUACUUUUCUGUGACACGUGUACUAACACGUGUACGGCUAUUCUAUUCUAUUCUAUCCCAGCCUAAAUGGUCAUCUAAGCGCAUUACCUCAUUAUUUCACUUCUCUCCUUCCUCUCUUUCAUUACUUAGCAGUUUCUAAAAAUCUUCUAUAUCUCCAUGAUGCUGAGUAUUUCUGCAAAUUUUCUUCGCUCAUUCCACUUUUUUGAAUAUAUGUUAGUUUCAGCUCUCAGUUCUGGUAAGUUUUUCUCCAAUCUAUUUUUGCUUAUUGCCUUUUUUCUGAUAAUUUCGUGCUAGAUUCUAGAAUUUAUAUGAGUCUAAGUAAUUGUAUCUAAUCUUCACAUGCAUGUCUAAAACUAGAUACCUUGAUGAAUGUCAGUGUAUGAUUUUGGAUAAUUAUUAUCUGAUGUCUUUCGAUUAAUUCUCUUUUGGUGCAAAUUAGCUACUCCAAAUUCCAAAAUGGAACCAUCGCAUAAAAGUCUAAAGUAUCAAAAGUAUGGUUUUGUUUGCAAAGUCAGCCCACCCAAGGUUUUGUCUUGAUCUCCAGUGUGAGUACAUGCCUCUUUCCGUUUAUUUUUCUUUAAAAUUUGUUUCCUUCCAACAUUUCUCGAACCGCCACCUCGAAAGAGGGAGAAUCGGUCAUCUAUGGUUAGUAGUGUAUUUGCUUCACCAGCUUGUGUUUCAAUCUCUUCUAAAGGAAAAAAAUAGAAGACAAUAUCACACCUAUAUAUUUUAAUAUUUUUCAGUCACUUGUCUUCCUUUUUCUGUUUUUGUUUAAUGUGAACAUAAAUAAUACUAUAGUUGUUGAAGUGGAUUAUGCAUCCAAGGUGUUUGAUGAUAUGUCUAACUCAUUUUAAUUGGAGUAAUGGAAUUCACAAAUCUUAUUUUGAUUAUUUUCAGGUGAAAGCAGAUGUGACAGAGGGAUCAACUGAAAUAACCAACGCCCUAAGUGACGAUUCAGGUGUAUUUAAUCUGUGAUUGAAGGUCUGCAGCCUUCACAGGAUUGCUGGCACCAUGGAAGGUUAGUCAACUUCGGUCCACAAAAUAGUAGUCUUUGUCAGAUCCGUCACAAUUGAUCUUUGUUAGGGUCAGCAAUAUGAGAUGAUUAUAUGAUAAGCUUGCAGAGAGUCUUAGUCUCAAUUUUAUGCAAUGCAAUGUCUAUGCAUGGUAUUUAAGUCUGAAAUUGUCAGUAGUCUUUAGUAGCUUGAAAAUCACAAUGAAGAGAACUUGGUUAAAAAUAUUCAUGUAAGUAACUAUGCAAACUGAUUUAAAGUUCAUCAAUUAGUUCAACAUCUACAACCUAUGCAAGAAAAUUAGGCAGUCGAAUGAAAUGCUUAGCAACAAAUUACAGUAGCUUUCCUACGAAGGCCUUUAUUACUUAUAUGCUAAUACGCUUAGGACUGUUAUUUUAUAAUCAGUUCCACAAACGAGCUAUAAAGAUUUAUGUUACCUUCUCAAAAAGAAAAAGGAGCUAUGAAGAUUUUCCAUGACUUCAUAAUUCAAGUUAGUUCUUGACAUAGUCUAAUGAAGAUGGUAAUAUUGUAGCCUUCCAGUUAUAGAAUAUAUGCUAAAAUUGUGGGACUGCACAAAAAAUUAAGGAUGACCAAACCCCUCUCUCUCUCUCUGUACCUAUUUAAUUUCUCCUAUAUGAACGCUUUCCUACAUACCAUUUGGUUUGGCAUUGCCAAAAAUCAUACACAAUAAAUAAUUAACAUCACAGUUAGUAUGGCAGGAUAGAUUAUCAAAUAUUAUAGUGAAUAUAGCUUGUAAUAUUUAGGUACCUUAACUAAUAUUGUAAGGAGAAGUUUCAAAGGAGAUACUUAGAAUGAAUUUUGCUCUGUAAAACUUUGCACUUGAACUUUUUCGAAUUAAAGUGUAUAGGUGUUUUGUGCAUUUGUAGUUUUUUAAGUUGGUAAGACAUCAAAUGACAAUGGAUUGUACAAUAUAGUAAUAUGAACGCGUGUUUUCUAUUGCCCUUAUACUAAAUAUAAUACAUUUUAAUUCUAAAAACCUAUUCCCUGAUUUCAAACACAUACUUUCUUGAAAAGCUAGAGAUCAUCCUGUUAACAAGAACGUCGCAGCAUUUUUUAUGAUUCGAUGGAGAAAUUGCUCUUGUGAUGAGACUUUUUUUUGUUUCUACACAAGAUUAGAAUGUUAAAUCUCUUGUUUGUUUAAACAAGAAUGAUAGUCUUUCAACUAACAAACUCUCCACAGAAUAGGCAACUUGAGAGACUUCUUCUGUUAUAUUCUUUUACACUUGAAAGCUUUUCUAUUGAUUGUUUAUAGUUAGUGUAUAUUUUGUUCAGUUAGAGGAAUAAUGUUCUACUGGAGCUUUGAAGUUUCAAGCAUUUCUUUGCAUUACUACAGAGGUUAUGAAAUAUUUCUCUAAGCCUUUUUCCUGUCAAAAUUUUUGUUUAGAGGUUGAAACCUUGAUUGUUCUACCUUAUCAAAAGUGAAACCUUGAAUGCUUUAGCUGGUUCUGUAGUAAACUGAUCUGUGCAUGAAUAAAUUUCUUUUUAUAUGUUGUGUGGGCUUGACAUGAAUUGACAGCUGAAUUUGUUCGAGGCACAAGCUAUGGUCUAAAAGUAGCAAUUUGAGCAAAAAACAAAACCCUUAUUAGUGAUCAUUACAUGUAAUCAAUUGCUUAUACCAUAAAACUUCUUAGAGGUGGGAAAGCAUUUUGAAUGUUGUUCAAUAAUUCAAUUUAGCACUAACGAAUUCCAUAUUGGCUUGCUCAAUACUUAUACAUACGUGUCAAGUAUCACUUGAUUUGUCAUAUUACAAUUAUUAGCUAAUGGCACUUGGUUCUGUUACAUGAUAACAGGAGCUACCAAUGAAUGAAAGAAAAAUAAGUUCAUUUUGUCAUAUUAACUGUGUUUCCAUGUUAUGUUUAAGAGAUUACAGAGGAUGCAUCGAUGAUGCCUAACAUAAAGUGAAAACUUACAGUUUUCUCUCUUUGAUGUUUGGGAUAGGGAUCUGUCGUUAAAUUUCUUUUGUGGGAAAACACUAUUCUUUGACUAUAUUUUUUAUUAGCAGAGUUGUUUGAAGGCUAGAAUUAAAUUGUGGCUGACAUGAAAUUCACAUAUGAUGCUAUCGGCCAGCAUUAUCGGAAUCAAAAGCGAAGACGUGUUCUGAGCUUUGUGGUCAAAUAUGUUUGUAGUGUUUCCAAAGAAACAAGGAGAAAAAGAUACAAGAAGAUUGAUUCUUCUGCAUUCGAAGGGACUCAAUGAUUUGGUGAAAUCAAUUUCCUUCUUAACAUGUGCAACAAUCUCUCUCUCCGUGUUGCAUGUAUAUUGAUGAAGUUGAAGAAUUUAAAGUGGAAAAAAUGAAGAGGUUUAUAAAAGUGGUAGUUAUGUCGGCCAGUUUAGCAUUGUUAUUAAUCUUAGAUAUUAAUUGUUUUUUAUGCUUAAUGGAACAGACAAAGAAUGAGUUUGCACCAAAUUAUAGUCAUUCUAGAAUAGUUAUUCCUCCUACUACUCCUUGUGAUGCAGCAAACCACUGCGGCUAGAUGCCUAGAUUGCCAGAUGCAUCAAACGCUCAUAAAGCUCUAGUCCGUAGAGUCCUAAGAGACAUGGUUAUGUGUUCCCUGGGCAGAGUUCAAGUGUACAACAUGAUAGAACUUAUACAAAAAAGAUGAAUAUACUUGCUUGGUUAAGAAAAGUGAAAGCUAACAGAGCAAAUUUUUAAUUUUAAUUUUUAUAGGGGGCGUUGUAUAUACCAUCACCAUCAUAGUUUAAAAAAACUAAAUACUAACAAGUGGGCCCGUGCAUAGACUAAAUACUUAUCUAACAUGUAGGCACGUGCCAUGCACGGGCAUCACCUCUCUAGUCUGUUAAUAUGUGGACCAAAG
rnacentral:lncRNA from 1 species